UUAGAUUUUGUCCCCAUUGAAAAAAAACGCGGACAAGACGCAAGCGUUUUUUUUUUCCGGUAUUGAGAUCCUAUGACGGUCUCAAUACCGGAAAAUAUUAACGCUAGUGUGAAAGUAGCCAUAAUCUAUAUUCUGUAGCUUUACCACAUUCAGAAGAGUGUAUUUCUGUGUUUACAAUGCUAAUAUACAUAUAACUUAUUCAUAGGCACAUUAUAUAAUUAUAAA